GUCUGGAGAACCUGUGCACUUGAAGUACCAUGAGAAGGGAGAAGGAUGAUAGAGCCUCCGGGGGAUGGGGCUCCUGCUCUUGAGUCAGGGCCCCACAGCUGGUGGGAAGUGCUCAGCUGCUCUCCUCCUGCUUCAUCACAGCAAUAGGAGUGCAACCCCAGUGUCCCAGCACACAUCCCCGUUGCAGCAGAGCUCAGUGAGGCAGUGGUUGGAGCUUGUCUUGCAGCAGGACGUCUCGGAGGAAUACAGUGCAUCGUGUUCCCAGGCUGCCAGCUCCAUAAUGAAACCAUUUUUCAGGUGGUAGAAAACUGUCCAAGUGGGGGCCCUUCAAGAGAGAUUCUCCAGCAAGUGCCAAUCCCACUGGUCACCGUCUGUAACCUUACUGCACCCUUGGUGAUGUCCUUCAGGUCCAUUCCUCAGUUCCUUCAUGAAUCAGCCCAUGUGGCUGUAACAUGGGGCAGCUUUGGCCAACCACAGGUCCACUGCGACUGCCUUAAAUCGG
rnacentral:lncRNA from 1 species